rnacentral:rRNA from 1 species
CUAAUACCGCAUAAGCCCACGACCCGGCAUCGGGUAGAGGGAAAAGGAGCAAUCCGCUUUGAGAUGGCCUCGCGUCCGAUUAGCUAGUUGGUGAGGUAAUGGCCCACCAAGGCGACGAUCGGUAGCCGGACUGAGAGGUUGAACGGCCACAUUGGGACUGAGACGCGGCCCAGACUCCUACGGGAGGCAGCAGUGGGGAAUAUUGCACAAUGGGGGAAACCCUGAUGCAGCGACGCCGCGUGGAGGAAGAAGGUCUUCGGAUUGUAAACUCCUGUUGUUGAGGAAGAUAAUGACGGUACUCAACAAGGAAGUGACGGCUAACUACGUGCCAGCAGCCGCGGUAAAACGUAGGUCACAAGCGUUGUCCGGAAUUACUGGGUGUAAAGGGAGCGCAGGCGGGAAGGCAAGUUGGAAGUGAAAUCCAUGGGCUCAACCCAUGAACUGCUUUCAAAACUGUUUUUCUUGAGUAGUGCAGAGGUAGGCGGAAUUCCCGGUGUAGCGGUGGAAUGCGUAGAUAUCGGGAGGAACACCAGUGGCGAAGGCGGCCUACUGGGCACCAACUGACGCUGAGGCUCGAAAGUGUGGGUAGCAAACAGGAUUAGAUACCCUGGUAGUCCACACUGUAAAC